GCGGUGGUGGUAUAGUGGUGGCACAGCUGCCUUGCAAGCAGUCGACCCUGCUUCAAUUCCUGAUCGCUGCC
rnacentral:tRNA from 1 species